GGCAGUGGCGGCAUGCUUAACAUGCAGUCGAACGGCAGCACGGGUGCUUGCACCUGGUGGCGAGUGGCGAACGGGUGAGUAAUACAUCGGAACAUGUCCUGUAGUGGGGGAUAGCCCGGCGAAAGCCGGAUUAAUACCGCAUACGAUCUAAGGAUGAAAGCGGGGGACCUUCGGGCCUCGCGCUAUAGGGUUGGCCGAUGGCUGAUUAGCUAGUUGGUGGGGUAAAGGCCUACCAAGGCGACGAUCAGUAGCUGGUCUGAGAGGACGACCAGCCACACUGGGACUGAGACACGGCCCAGACUCCUACGGGAGGCAGCAGUGGGGAAUUUUGGACAAUGGGCGAAAGCCUGAUCCAGCAAUGCCGCGUGUGUGAAGAAGGCCUUCGGGUUGUAAAGCACUUUUGUCCGGAAAGAAAUCCCUGGUCCUAAUAUGGCCGGGGGAUGACGGUACCGGAAGAAUAAGCACCGGCUAACUACGUGCCAGCAGCCGCGGUAAUACGUAGGGUGCGAGCGUUAAUCGGAAUUACUGGGCGUAAAGCGUGCGCAGGCGGUUUGUUAAGACCGAUGUGAAAUCCCCGGGCUCAACCUGGGAACUGCAUUGGUGACUGGCAAGCUAGAGUAUGGCAGAGGGGGGUAGAAUUCCACGUGUAGCAGUGAAAUGCGUAGAGAUGUGGAGGAAUACCGAUGGCGAAGGCAGCCCCCUGGGCCAAUACUGACGCUCAUGCACGAAAGCGUGGGGAGCAAACAGGA
rnacentral:rRNA from 1 species